GAUGAACGCUGGCGGCGUGCCUAAUACAUGCAAGUCGAGCGAACAGACGAGGAGCUUGCUCCUCUGACGUUAGCGGCGGACGGGUGAGUAACACGUGGAUAACCUACCUAUAAGACUGGGAUAACUUCGGGAAACCGGAGCUAAUACCGGAUAACAUGUUGAACCGCAUGGUUCAACAGUGAAAGACGGUCUUGCUGUCACUUAUAGAUGGAUCCGCGCCGCAUUAGCUAGUUGGUAAGGUAACGGCUUACCAAGGCAACGAUGCGUAGCCGACCUGAGAGGGGGAUCGGCCACACUGGAACUGAGACACGGUCCAGACUCCUACGGGAGGCAGCAGUAGGGAAUCUUCCGCAAUGGGCGAAGGCCUGACGGAGCAACGCCGCGUGAGUGAAGAAGGUCUUCGGAUCGUAAAACUCUGUUAUUAGGGAAGAACAAAUGUGUAAGUAACUAUGCACGUCUUGACGGUACCUAAUCAGAAAGCCACGGCUAACUACGUG
rnacentral:rRNA from 1 species